rnacentral:rRNA from 1 species
UUGGCACGAAGUUUAGACCCGUAGCAUAUAGCUCAGUAACACGUGGCCAAACUACCCUACAGACCGCGAUAACCUCGGGAAACUGAGGCCAAUAGCGGAUAUAACUCUCAGGCUGGAGUGCCGAGAGUUAGAAACGUUCCGGCGCUGUAGGAUGUGGCUGCGGCCGAUUAGGUAGAUGGUGGGGUAACGGCCCACCAUGCCGAUAAUCGGUACAGGUUGUGAGAGCAAGAACCUGGAGACGGUAUCUGAGACAAGAUACCGGGCCCUACGGGGCGCAGCAGGCGCGAAACCUUUACACUGCACGACAGUGCGAUAGGGGGACUCCGAGUGUGAGGGCAUAUAGCCCUCGCUUUUCUGUACCGUAAGGUGGUACAGGAACAAGGACUGGGCAAGACCGGUGCCAGCCGCCGCGGUAAUACCGGCAGUCCAAGUGAUGGCCGAUAUUAUUGGGCCUAAAGCGUCCGUAGCUUGCUGUAUAAGUCCAUUGGGAAAUCGACCAGCUCAACUGGUCGGCGUCCGGUGGAAACUGUACAGCUUGGGGCCGAGAGACUCGACGGGUACGUCCGGGGUAGGAGUGAAAUCCUGUAAUCCUGGACGGACCACCAAUGGGGAAACCACGUUGAGAGACCGGACCCGACAGUGAGGGACGAAAGCUAGGGUCUCGAACCGGAUUAGAUACCCGGGUAGUCCUGGCUGUAAACA